CUUAAAGCCCUAAAUGGCGGCUUCAAUAUCAGUCCCACUGAGCAUGAAAUUCAUUUACUUAAAUAAAAUCUGAAUCUCAGCCCAAACCUGGGAGAUUCAAAACCUGAGAGCGGUCUUACCAAAGACGCCCGUAUGUCUGGUGAAGUCAGUUGGAUGCAAGCAGUUUGUGCUGGUACCAGGGCCCCAGCUACUGAUGAAGUGGCAGGAGUCCACAGAAGCCUACUUCGAAGUUCCCGGGGCUUCCAGGGGAGAUUGACGAGAUUCCUGGGGAGGCGAUUCAUGACAGCUGAGUUCCUUUUGGAGGAUCCGUCUUCAGGCAGUCUGAUCCCCCAGGAAAGCAGCUGGAAAACAAGAGCAUGUGAAGGAAGCGCAGCAGCUCCUCGCCAGCCAGACAGCCAGCCCCGCACCGCAGGAGUCGACAUGCACGGCAGCCUAGACGCCAUCAGUUAAACUUAUAUGUAGGCUUGUUGAGGAAAACGACUUUCAAACACAAGGCAAAAGAAAAACAUGAAACCAAGGGUUCCAACAUUCAUCAUCCAGUUUCAGAGACACCCUUGAAGGAAUGCUACAGCCUCUUUCUUACCCAUUCAAACCAGUCGCUCUGCUGCAUACCCACAUCACAGGAGGCCCUCAGCCCCGACACACAGGCUCACUCAGCCCGGGGACAUCAGCACCUGUGCCAGCUCCGCAAGGUAUCCACCAUGCGGCCAGAACUGAGGCCCAGCAAUAGCUGAAAUGUCCUUUAAAUUAACAUGUACAACACACAACCCCCAAGAGCUGACAUCCCCAAAGCCCCACCACAAAUAGCUGACUCCUACUUAUACCUGCAGGAGCAGGUAGUGACCUCUGCAAUUCUAAACCGUCCACUUUGGGCAAAAUUCAUCAAGCUAUGGAUAUGAAAAAAGGCCCCCAAGGAUAUGAUUCAUAGUCCAGCGUUUGAGUGAGCACUCCAGUCAGAACGAACUCUGCAUUGUGAACAUCUGAACAGGGUGGAAACAGACACUUUAGUUAGAGAUCCACUGCUGUGCGUGCACACAUACUCACACAGGGCAAUGACGGACUCGCUGGCGGACUCCACUCUACCCACCGAGUUCUGCUUGUGCUCCAUGAGCUUCCGGAAAGAUGGCUGCUUGGAUAACACCUUUCCUCCUGCACACUCUACGAUUGCCUUCAUAGUGGAAAGACUUGGGCAGAUUCCAGGUGUGAUGUAAAAAUAUUUUGCCUAAAAUUAAAUGAAAAUAUAUGUAUUAUGUUCUUAAAAAAAAAAAAAAAAAA
rnacentral:lncRNA from 1 species